UGAGCAUAAGAAAACUUGAAAGCGGUGUAAAUGGCUCUUAUCUGAACCACAAUGAAUUCACAUAUUCAAGUUGGCUUCUUCGGAAAUUUCAGGCCACAAAUGGCAGUGAUGCGACCAGGAGCAGUAACACGAUUACAAGUCGCAAUUUAGGAAGGGUGCUCCAUCAUCAUUUCAUGAUUCUCACUACAGCCCAGACAGGUGGGCAGAGCAGUGUUCUUUCCCCUUUAAUGAAUGAAGAAGCUGAGCCUCAAACAGAUGAGGGGGCUUCCUGGGUUCACAGAGCUCUAAAGGGCUGAGCUGUAGAUCCACGGCCACCAUGAUGAGCUAAGAGUUUCUGGAUUCAGUGCCUGCUGUUGCUCCUGGAGAUUUGUAUCCUGAUUGAAGGCUGGUUCCAUAUCUGUUCACCCAGUCACCUUUAAAAUUAAGUCCUGGGCACAAAUCAUUAGUCUGGCAAGUUACAUCACUGUGCCACUUCCAUCCGGACAGAAGGAACCCAGGUCAAGGCUGACAGGAGGAGCAGGAGCCGUCAAUGAGAGCAGACCUCAGAAGCCAACGGAGGUGAGAAGAGCACCAUCCACAGCCCCAUCCUCUGAAUGCUGUGGGAAGAAGUCCACAAAAUACCACCCCUUGGAGUCAGUCAGUAGUAGAGCCCUUGCUGCUGGCUGCAAAUACCCCAUCAGAACAUGUUUGGGGUGAUUCUUGGACCUGGUUUCAAUUUCUUUUCUGCCAGUCAGCAGUUGUGCUUGACUCACAAUUUGUUGCCAUCUCUUGAAUUAAACUCAGGAAACAGGAUAAAGAUCAGAACCACAUUGUAAAAGCUUCCUUAUGGUUCAUUUUUUGCUGAGAUAAAUAAUGAGCAGCUCUGAUCCAUGUCUCUGGAGAGCUCAGAGCACACUACCAGGAGCUCCUAGCCACAGGGUGAGCACAGGUGGCUGGUGUUCUCUUGAUGAGGAAAGACAGCAGUGUCCAAUCUACCCUGCCUUACACGGAGCCCCAGGUGCUCUCCCGGACUGUGUUGCUACCUAAAGCACAUGGCAAUUGCAUGAUGCUAACCAGAGCAGCCCCUCACUCAUUAGAAACAUCUGCUUUGCAUUAUUUACACAGGCAAAGUUUUCCUUUUUACUGAGCCUACCCAGUUCAAACUUAAGUGGGAUUUGCCAGCUAUCUGGCUAAUUUUAUGAGCAAUAAUAAAGAUUGGUGAACACUUGGUUUUUGCAUAAUUAUAAUCAAUUUUAUGUUAAACUUAGCUUAAAAGAAAUUUAUCUUCAUGAGAAAAAUAGACAGACUUUAGUGAGGACCAAUCUACAAAAUGCCUGACCAGAGUUCUUCAAAACUGUCAAGGUCAUCAAAAUCAAGGAAAGUUUCAGAGAUUGUCACAACCAAGAGGAGCCUAAGGCAAUGCUGUGACUAAAUGUCAUGUGGUGGUCUGGAUGGGGUCUUGGACCGGGAAAAGGAUACUAGAUAAAAACAGGAAAUCCAAAUAAUGUGUAGAUUUUAGUCAAUAAUAAUGUAUCAAUAUUGGCUCAUUAAAUUGUGACAAAUGUGCCAUACCAAUGAAAGAUGUUAAUAACAGGGGAGGCUAGGUGUGGAGCAUUCGAGAACUCUCUCAACUAUGCUCUCAACUUUUGGGUGAGUCUAAAACUGUUCUAAAAUAAAAACUUUAUUUAAAAAUAUAUAAAGAGGCUGGGCACAGUGGCUCAUGCCUGUAAUCCCAGCACUUUGGGAGGUCAGGACAAGAGGAUUUCUUGAGCCCAGGAGUUGGAGACCAGCCUCGGUCACAUGAUAAAACUCUGUUUCUACAACACAUACAAAAAUUAGUGGCACACGCCUGUAGUCUCAGCUAGUCAAGCGGAUGAAGUGUGAGGAUCAUCUGAGCCUGGCAAGGUCAAGGCUGCAGUGAAUAGUGAUUGUGAAAAUGAAAUCCAGCCAGGCGACAGAGUGAGACCCUGUCUAAAAAAAAAAAAAAAAAAAAAAACUAUACAUAUACAUAUGUAAAUUAAGAAUGAAACAGAAACUUCCAUAAUCUCAUCUUCUGAAUUUUGGAAUUGUGUAAAAGUUGCCUCAAACCAAUGAUAAGUAAUAGCUCAUGUUUACCAAGUGCUGACAACAUGUCAGUGUGCUAAGAACUUUACACACGUUACUUGUUUAAUUCUCACAAAGAUCCUAUGGAGUAGGUACAACCAUUAGCCUACUGCACAGAUGUAGAAACUGAGGCAUAGCACCAUUAAAUAAUUUGUCCAGCUCAGAAAGCAGCAUUUGGUUAUAGAGCUCAUGUACUCUACCACUGCUCUGUACUGCACAGAGCAGGGCCACAAAUGAAAAGACAGUCAUGAGUCCGUUAAAAUUCCAGGAUAGUGAACACUGGGACAUAGAAUAUGCUGCUAAGGGGGGCUGGGACAUUCAAGGCCUGAGUGACUUCUCUGCAUCUGUAUACAGAGCCUGGGAGAUGUGCCACUCAUUUGUCAUCUGAUGAUAAUCUACUCAUGAAAAAUCAUAUUCUUUGAAGGAUGAUUAAUUAAUUUGACAAAUCCGAGAUUAAGACAAAUGACUUAGAAGGGAAAGAAUCAGUCAUAGCCUGCACCUGGCCCGGUAUGGACUUCCUGUCGCAGGCCACUACCCCUUCUGCCUGCAUCUUCAGGUCUGCCCAGUUC
rnacentral:lncRNA from 1 species